GAAUGAUCUUUUCCAUUGACAGCUUUGUUCAUCCCCGCAGGCAGAUCUGCACCUGUAACCAAAGCCCGGUGGAUACCGGCCUAAUUACCGAUCUCAUCUGGCACCCAGCUGCCUUCUCCUUGUCCUUGCACGAACCCCACGCGGCAGAGCGCAGAAGAGGAGCCAUUAUCACGUUUCUGCUGUCACCUGUAACCGCUACUGGUUUGUUAACGCGGAGACACGCAAGGUCAGGACGCAGCCUAGAAACAGGCGGCUGUGUGGGCCGAGCGGAAUGAGCUGCUCCCUGCUCGCCAAAAAAAAAAAAUCUUCACACAAUGGAGGCCGGCGGUAUUAUGGAGCCAGAGGAGGGGAUGACGCACGCCACAUUGAAACCCGACGAAGGACGAGCGUAUGGCGCCGGCAUCCAAUGCUUUUCAUUAAUUCUGUUCAUAGCUCAGCGCUGUGUGCACUUGCAUCAAGGCUCCGGCGCUGCGGCGUUUUUAUACAUUUUUCCAUUAAAAGGCUGUUGGCAAUCAGAUUUGCAGAAUUUGCCCCGCGCGGUCAUUUCACAUUGCCAAGCGGCGGCGCAAAUACAGAAAGGUGGAGAUCGAGGUUGAACCGAACCACCUCUCCCCGAAGUGGGACAUGUUCUCUCUCUUCGGAGGGAUCUGCCGAUUGACGCGGUGCUGACAGCUCCA